rnacentral:tRNA from 1 species
UUCUUCUGUAGGUUAAAUAAACUGUUAGCUUGUGGUGCUGGAGAUUAUAUGGUAUGUGCGGAGGAAG